AUUGAACGCUGGCGGCAUGCUUUACACAUGCCAGUCGAACGGUAACAGGCCUUCUGGUGCUGACGAGUGGCGCACGGGUGCGUAAUGCAUCGGAACGUACCCAGAGGUGGGGGAUAACGCAGCGAAAGCUGUGCUAAUACCGCAUGUGAUCUGAGGAUGAAAGCGGGGGACCGAGCAGCAAUGUUUGGCCUCGCGCCUUUGGAGCGGCCGAUGUCGGAUUAGCUAGUUGGUGGGGUAAAGGCCUACCAAGGCGACGAUCCGUAGCUGGUCUGAGAGGACGACAAGCAACACUGGGACUGAGACACGGCCCAGACUCCUACGGGAGGCAGCAGUGGGGAAUUUUGGACAAUGGGCGCAAGCCUGAUCCAGCAAUGCCGCGUGCGGGAAGAAGGCCUUCGGGUUGUAAACCGCUUUUGGCAGGAACGAAACGGUGUCCGCUAAUACCGGGCGCUAAUGACGGUACCUGCAGAAUAAGCACCGGCUAACUACGUG
rnacentral:rRNA from 1 species